GAUGAACGCUGGCGGCGUGUCUAAUACAUGCAAGUCGAGCGAACAGAUGAGGAGCUUGCUCCUCUGACGUUAGCGGCGGACGGGUGAGUAACACGUGGAUAACCUACCUAUAAGACUGGGAUAACUUCGGGAAACCGGAGCUAAUACCGGAUAAUAUAUUGAACCGCAUGGUUCAAUAGUGAAAGACGGUUUUGCUGUCACUUAUAGAUGGAUCCGCGCCGCAUUAGCUAGUUGGUAAGGUAACGGCUUACCAAGGCAACGAUGCGUAGCCGACCUGAGAGGGUGAUCGGCCACACUGGAACUGAGACACGGUCCAGACUCCUACGGGAGGCAGCAGUAGGGAAUCUUCCGCAAUGGGCGAAAGCCUGACGGAGCAACGCCGCGUGAGUGAUGAAGGUCUUCGGAUCGUAAAACUCUGUUAUUAGGGAAGAACAAAUGUGUAAGUAACUAUGCACGUCUUGACGGUACCUAAUCAGAAAGCCACGGCUAACUACGUG
rnacentral:rRNA from 1 species